CAGCAGCCGCCGCGGUAAUACAGAGGGUGCGAGCGUUAAUCGGAUUUACUGGGCGUAAAGCGUGCGUAGGCGGCUUUUUAAGUCGGAUGUGAAAUCCCUGAGCUUAACUUAGGAAUUGCAUUCGAUACUGGGAAGCUAGAGUAUGGGAGAGGAUGGUAGAAUUCCAGGUGUAGCGGUGAAAUGCGUAGAGAUCUGGAGGAAUACCGAUGGCGAAGGCAGCCAUCUGGCCUAAUACUGACGCUGAGGUACGAAAGCAUGGGGAGCAAACAGGAUUAGAUACCCCCGUAGUCCCUGUCUCUUAUAC
rnacentral:rRNA from 1 species